GUUAAAACUAAUUGAAAAUUUAUAAUGCACUCACAAUUGGGUCAAAAAUGAAUAACUCAUUAUUAGUUCUAGUGUUUUUGAAAAUUAAAAUAUUUCAUGACGAGGAUCCGUUGGUCCAAUAGCAAAUCCAUCCACCGCCGUCCAACAUAGUAAUUAUUACCUGAAAAUUGUAAAUAAGGGGAUGAGUAUAACGAAUUAUACUCAAUGAGAUACUUGUUACUCCACAUUCAAGUCAAACAUGAAAUUACAAAUAAAUUAUCUUACCAACAUAACAUGAGAAUUAUCACACCAUGACAAAUUAUAAUUCUAGCAAGCGCUGCAAAAUAACGUGAAGGCUAAAUUGUGCCUUAAAAUGUAUCAUGAUUUCUCCCGAAGGAGCCUGAAUUGAAGUAAUUAAAUUCAUAAUAACGUAUUUGAAAAGAUGUGGAAAAAUCACUAAUAGCAAUGAGUAUCCCACCCUUUGAAGAUGAAAGUGGAGAAUAAAAUUGCAGAAAUGUGAUUGCAAUUCCAAAGCCUUAAAAAAUCUAAAUAAUAUAGAGGAAUAUUUUAAAGAGGGAGAGGUAAUGGACGUGUAGUAGAAUGUGGUUUUAGUGCUCUAUUUAUACUGUUGAAGUCGGGUAAUCACGUGGGGGAAGUGGAAUUUCUGCCAUAUUUAAAUUCGUAUUUCAUGCAAUUUUCUGAGAAAUUGAUUCAUAAUUCCCGAUUGAUAUAGUAUGACUGGAGAUUAAUUAUUGGUUUUCUGCCAAUUUCUAUAUCAAUUACAAUUACAACAAGGAAAUGAUAGGUAUUACACUGCAUGACUUUUACACGUGGACGGGGAAAACAAAUCUGCCUCCUAUUUGCAUAAUUUACUCUAAUACAAACAUCUUAAAUUGU
rnacentral:lncRNA from 1 species